UACGUAGGGGGCGAGCGUUGUCCGGAAUGACUGGGCGUAAAGGGCGUGUAGGCGGCUUUUUAAGUCUGGAGUGAAAGUCCUGCUUUCAAGGUGGGAAUUGCUUUGGAAACUGGAGAGCUUGAGUGCGGAAGAGGUAAGUGGAAUUCCCAGUGUAGCGGUGAAAUGCGUAGAGAUUGGGAGGAACACCAGUGGCGAAGGCGACUUACUGGGCCGUAACUGACGCUGAGGCGCGAAAGCGUGGGGAGCGAAC
rnacentral:rRNA from 1 species